UGACAGUACUGGAUGAUUCUGGCUUCAUAUCUUUCAAUUUUUUUGGCUGUUGCUGAAAUUUGUUCUUUCAUGAAGGGGCACAGCUGGCUUAUCAGCCAAAGGCACUCAUGACUGUCGCAUCUACCUGGGCUGACAUUUGGAGAGACAGAUCCAGGAGUUAUCCCAAACUGCGAACACAGUCUUUCAGGUUUAAAUUCAGGACUAAUUAUACACUUCAAGUCUGAUUAAAACCACAACUCAUGAUUCCAAGGGAACAGAGGGACAGAAGACUAUGGGGAACUCCUGUAACCCAACCUCGGAUCCUGACCGGUAGACGGACCAGCAGCCAUAACCCUCUCACAAAAGCCAGUUUUUGAUUUUAUAUCUUUCUAUCAAAGGUCUGCAGACAUGCUCUGAUACAUGUCAGUGCACGUGCGGACCAGAUCUGCAACAGCAAAUCUCUCACAGAGAGACUGUCCUUUGUCAACCCUUUAAUAAAAAUGCAUAUUUCC
rnacentral:lncRNA from 11 species